rnacentral:rRNA from 1 species
AACGAACGCUGGCGGCAGGCUUAACACAUGCAAGUCGAGCGCCCCGCAAGGGGAGCGGCAGACGGGUGAGUAACGCGUGGGAACGUACCCUUUGCUACGGAAUAACUCAGGGAAACUUGUGCUAAUACCGUAUGUGCCCUUCGGGGGAAAGAUUUAUCGGCAAAGGAUCGGCCCGCGUUGGAUUAGCUAGUUGGUGGGGUAAAGGCCUACCAAGGCGACGAUCCAUAGCUGGUCUGAGAGGAUGAUCAGCCACACUGGGACUGAGACACGGCCCAGACUCCUACGGGAGGCAGCAGUGGGGAAUAUUGGACAAUGGGCGCAAGCCUGAUCCAGCCAUGCCGCGUGAGUGAUGAAGGCCCUAGGGUUGUAAAGCUCUUUCACCGGUGAAGAUAAUGACGGUAACCGGAGAAGAAGCCCCGGCUAACUUCGUGCCAGCCGCCGCAGUAACAC